GCAUGUGUAAAGGUAGCUCCGUUAGUAAAGCAUGAAACUCUUAAUCUCAGAGUCUUGGGUUCAAGCCCCAUGGCUGGGCA
rnacentral:tRNA from 1 species